AUAGUGGUAGUUAAAUUAUAAUUUUGGAUUUGCACUCCUAGGUCGGGUAAAUAACUACCCCCUCUAUA
rnacentral:tRNA from 1 species